UGGCCUCCUCGGUACCCUAAUAAUUACAAGGAAGAAAAAGUCUCCGCUACCUAUUAAUUACAAAGUAGAAAAAGAUUCCCUGAAAAGACCCCAUUUUGUUUUUUUUGGAAAAAUAACCCGGAGGGCCGUGAAACAUUCACUUCCACCCUCACGGCUCCUGUAAUUUCUUUCUAUGGCACCCCGCACGGGCCGUCGGCGGCGACCCUCACCCGCGUCGGCAGCCCUCCCGCCGCCGCCGUGCCGGCGUCUCUCCGGUUGUAGCCUUCCUUCGCCGGCAAGAGCCGCACCGCCGAGUGCCCCCUCAGCUGCCGGAAACACGGCACCAUGACGGUCUCCGUCCACUCCUCGAAGGCGGCGGCGGUCGUUGACCCGAACCAGAGGCCGCCGACGAGCCGGUCCAUGGCUUCCUCGUCGAUGAGCAGCGAGCGGCUCUCGCCGGCGGCCGCCCUGAACUUCCUCGUCAUCGUCUCCGAGACCUUCCGGCGGACCUCCCCGAAGUCAACGGGCUUAAAGGACACGGCGGCGUCGACAGCGGAGCGGAGCAUCUCCCACGCCGAGGACGACGAUCCACCCGCCAGGAGCUGCUGCCUCUUGUCGUUGUGGCUGCUGUUGCUGUUGUUGCCGGUGGCGGCGACAGCGAGCUUCCCGUUGCAGUCGACGGCGUCCUGCUCGACGGUGAGGUCGCUGGAGUUGAGGGACCCCUCGGUAGUCUCCUCGUCGGAGCCCGCCGCCAGGUUCAGGUCCAGCGAGAGCCGCGGGGGCUUCGCUGGCCAGCUCUGCUCCGGCGACCACUCGGCCCGCCGCUUCCCGGGCUUCUCCAGCGCCGCCAG
rnacentral:lncRNA from 1 species